CAAUAGCGUAUAUUUAAGUUGUUGCAGUUAAAAGCUCGUAGUUGGAUUUCGGAUGUGAACGACCGGUCCGCCGUUGCGGUGUGCACUGGACGUUUGUAUCUUGUUGUCGGGGACGCGCUCCUGACCUUAACUGGGAGGGACGCGGAGUCGGCGCUGUUACUUUGAAAAAUUAGAGUGUUCAAAGCAGGCAACCGCUCUGAAUACAUUAGCAUGGAAUAACGCUAUAGGACUCUGGUCCUAUUGUGUUGGUCUUCGGGACCGGAGUAAUGAUUAAGAGGGACAGUUGGGGGCAUUCGUAUUUCAUUGUCAGAGGUGAAAUUCUUGGAUCGCCGUAAGACGAACUACUGCGAAAGCAUUUGCCAAGCAUGUUUUCCUUAAUCAAGAACGAAAGUCAGAGGUUCGAAGACGAUUAGAUACCAU
rnacentral:rRNA from 1 species